UCGGGACUGAAAAUCAGGUGCUGCGAAGCUCCAAAUCCGUAGCAUCAAAUCCGAUCUCCACCGUUCAAAUCAAACGCCAAGAUGUUAGAAACACUCAGUCAAAUUUCAGCCCGAUCCAACAGUGAAUGAAUCGUAAAAUGCGAUUUGAAGUUGGCUGAUCGGAGAGGAAAAAAUGCAGCAACUAAACUCUCUUUCUUUCUUUUCUCUUUGGCGAAAGUUCUCUCAAAAA
rnacentral:lncRNA from 1 species